rnacentral:rRNA from 1 species
AACGAACGUUGGCGGCGUGGAUUAGGCAUGCAAGUCGAACGAAUGUCAGUUUUGUAGCAAUACAGAGCUGGCGGAAGUGGCGAAAGGGGCAGUAAUGCAUGGGUAACCUACCUUGGGGAUGGGGAUAGCCGUCCUAACGAGCGGGUAAUACCCAGAGAUUCGGCGGGAGGGCAUCCUUCUACCGGGAAAUGAAUUUCGCCUCGAGAGGGGCCCAUGUGCUAUUAGCUAGUUGGUGAGGUAACGGCUCACCAAGGCUAAGAUGGCUAGCGGGUGUGAGAGCACGACCCGCGCCACUGGCACUGAGACACUGGCCAGACACCUACGGGUGGCUGCAGUCGAGGAUCUUCGUCAAUGGGCGCAAGCCUGAACGAGCGACGCCGCGUGCGCGAUGAAGGCCUUCGGGUUGUAAAGCGCGAAAGUGGGGAGAAAGGGAAACUUGAUCAAUCCACAGUAAGGACGGGCUAAGUUCGUGCCAGCAGCCGCGGUAAGACGAACUGUCCUAACGUUGUUCGGAAUCACUGGGCUUAAAGGGCGCGUAGGCGGUCCAACAAGUCGGGGGUGAAAUCCUGCAGCUUAACUGCAGAAGUGCCUUCGAUACUGUUGGUCUCGAGGGAGAUAGGGGUGUGCGGAACUUCCAGUGGAGCGGUGAAAUGCGUUGAUAUUGGAAGGAACGCCGGAGGCGAAAGCGGCGCACUGGAUCUCUUCUGACGCUGAGGCGCGAAAGCUAGGGGAGCAAACGGGAUUAGAUACCCCGGUAGUCCU